CGUAGGAAUCUACCGAGUAGUGGGGGACAACAGUUGGAAACGACUGCUAAUACCGCAUAAUCCCUGAGGGGGAAAGGAGGGGAUCUGUUUACAGACCUUUCGCUAUUUGAUGAGCCUGCGUGAGAUUAGCUAGUUGGUGAGGUAAUGGCUCACCAAGGCGACGAUCUCUAGCUGGUCUGAGAGGAUGAUCAGCCACACUGGAACUGAGACACGGUCCAGACUCCUACGGGAGGCAGCAGUGGGGAAUAUUGCACAAUGGGGGAAACCCUGAUGCAGCCAUGCCGCGUGUGUGAAGAAGGGCUUCGGGUUGUAAAGCACUUUCAGCGAGGAGGAAAGGAGUAUGUUUAAUACACGUGCUCUGUGACGUUACUCGCAGAAGA
rnacentral:rRNA from 1 species